UCGGAUAUGGUGUAAUGGCUAACAUUACCGCCUCUCAUUAGGCCUCAUCAUGUAAUAUACGCGGUAGCUCGGGGUUCGAUUCCCCGUAUCCGAA